GGGAUGACCAGGGAUGUUCUCAUGAUAAGUGUGUGAAUUAAACAAUUUUCCUGUCCUGCUAAGCAUUCAAAAUGUAUCAAGUACUUUUGGGUUUCAGGAAAAUGUAUGGAGUAGAAAGUAGGUCAUUUUCUUUAGGAAUGUAGUGAAGUGAAAGUAAAUGUUGUCAAAAAUAUAAAUAGUAAUGUACAGAUACCCCAAAAAAUGACUUAAGUAAUACUUUCAAGUAUUUUUACUUAAGUACUUUACACCACUGCCUUUUGGAAUGCAGCCUGUAGUGAACAUGCCUCUGUGCUGGGCUGAGCACCUGUUUAAGAGAUUGUGGUAGAUUAACAUAAUCUUGAUUGAAAGCAAAUCCAAGGUAUGUGUAAUUCUGCCGCUGGGGUGGGACAGUUUACAACACAAGCAAUGGGCUAUGUACAACUGAGCUGUGCCAACAUUCACAGACCACAAACACACUGCUCACCACAAAGCUUGAGCAAUUAAUGGGAAAUAACACCAAUAAAUUCCCUUGGUUCUGCUAACGCUAGAAAACUAAUACAGCUCAGGAAUUUUCAGAUGUAUCCUUGAAGUUUGGUUUUAUUCAGAAAUAUGAUGAACACAAAACUAAAAACAUCAAACAAUUGUUGAUAAACACUUACAUUACUGGCAAUCAAAUAUGGUGUGAUUAGAAGCACAUAUGACCUUUAUUGUGUCAACAGAUGUGCUGUCUGAAACCUUGGUUAACUCGUCCAGAGGGUUUCGAAAAGCUGAUUGAGAGUUUACAGCCCAGCUUUGGCACAGAACUGUCAGCCCUCCUUCAGUGAUCCUGUCUGACUUUUACUCUCUGAGCCCUGGACCUGGCUGGCACUAUCCUCAUGAGCUUACACUGAGCUCUUCUUCAUCUCCUUCACGGAGAUAGAGAAUUACAACCGCAAAUUCUCUAUUCUUCAUGACAUCUUUUGUCCCAAUGACUCAAAUGUUGUUUCCCUUUAACAGCACAUUUAUGCACUGGUCUCAACAUUCUAAUAGCUCUGAUGUGAUUCUUGUUAUACUAAACUGAUUAUCCAGGCUCAUGAUCUACCACUACACCAGGUUGAAUAAUGCUGCACUCACUACAUGCUUGCAGGAACACUUUCAGCAUGUGUGCUUCAAAUCAAAUCAAAUGUAUUUAUAUAGCCCUUCUUACAUCAGCUGAUAUCUCAAAGUGCUGUACAGAAACCCAGCCUAAAACCCCAAACAGCAAGCAAUGCAGGUGUAGAAGCACGGUGGCUAGGAAAACCUCCCUAGAAAGGCCAAAACCUAGGAAGAAACCUAGAGAGGAACCAGGCUAUGAGGGGUGGCCAGUCCUCUUCUGGCUGUGCCGGGUGGAGAUUAUAACAGAACAUGGCCAAGAUGUUAAAAUGUUCAUAAAUGACCAGCAUGGUCAAAUAAUAAUAAUCACAGUAGUUGUCGAGGGUGCAGCAAGUCAGCACCUCAGGAGUAAAUGUCAGUUCGCUUUUCAAAGCCGAUCAUUUAGAGUAUCUCUACCGCUCCUGCUGUCUCUAGAGAGUUGAAAACAGCAGGUCUGGGACAGGUAGCACGUCCGGUGAACGGGUCAGGGUUCCAUAGCCACAGGCAGAACAGUUGAAACUGGAGCAGCAGCACGGCCAGGUGGACUUGGGACAGCAAAGAGUCAUCAUGCCAGGUAGUCCUGAGGCAUGGUCCUAGGGCUCAGGUCCUGCUAGAGAGAGAAAGAAAGAGAGAAUUAGAGAGAGCAUACUUCAAUUCACACAGGACACCGGAUAAGACAGGAGAAGUACUCCAGAUAUAACAAACUGACUCUAGCCCCCCCGACACAAACUACCGCAGCAUAAUUACUGGAGGCUGAGACAGGAGGGGUCAGGAGACACUGUGGCCCCAUCCGAAGAUACCCC
ensembl:lncRNA